GAGCUGAGGCAAACACAAUCUGCCUCCAUGUUUCCAUGAGUAUUAAAGAGGAUAAGACUCUGAAAAUCUCUGACAAACUCUCUAGACUGGACACAGAAAUGACAGCAGCUACAAUGAAUAAACUUGACUUUGUGGUUACUUUUCUAAUCCUGUUCUUUAACUGGACAGGUACUGAAGGUCAAACACUGACUGAGUCUGAAUCAGUGGUUAAAAGACCUGGAGAAUCCCACAAACUGAUCUGCACAUAUUCAGGGUUUAGUAGUGAUUACUGGAACGCUUGGAUCAGACAAGCAGCUGGAAAAGGACUGGAAUGGAUCGCUACUAUCAGCUCUGACAGCAGCAGCAUCUACUACUCAGAGUCAGUGAAAAACCGCUUCACCAUCUCCAGAGACAACAGCAGAAAGCAGGUGUAUCUGCAGAUGAACAGUGUGAAGUGUGAACAGAACUUUGUGAGUCUACAGCCAGGUCAGAGACUGACCAUCACCUGUCAGGUCUCUUAUUCUGUGAGCAGCUACAGGACAGCUUGGAUCAGACAGCCUGCAGGGAAAGGACUGGAGUGGAUUGGGAUUGAAUGUGUUGGAUACACCAAAUACUACAAAUAUUCACUGAAGGACAAGUUCAAUAUGACUCUAGACUCUUCCAACAACAGAGUGACUCUAAAUGGACAGAACAUGCAGCCUGAAGACACUGCUGUGUAUUUCUGUGCCAGAGAUCCACAGUGA